ACAUUCAUAUCAAACCCUCCAAACAAUGUCUUCACUUGGAAGAUACUUCAUUUCUCUACCUUGGAAGAUAAAAUCUAUAAAUCUGACGAGUUUCUUGUUGGAGACCGAUACUGGUUAGUACUUGAUCUCAUCGUAUUACAUAAUGAUUCAUAAUAUUGAUCUCAUCUACCAAGUGUCGUUAGCUCAACUGGUAAAGUCCUAGACGAAGCUUAGAGGUCGCCGGUUUGAGUGACGUUUGGGACGUUACUAAUAUUACAUGCUGUAGUUUCGGGUCUGAGGUAUUACGGGCUUUGGCCCAAAACCUCCUAGUAUUCAAAAAAAAAAAAAAAAAUUGAUCUCAUCGUUACGUGACUUCACAGUGGCCUGAGUAUAAUAAGGGAUUUUGGUUAAUGAAUAAUCAGGAAAUUAGGAUUUAACCCGAAAGGAGGUUUAGUCCCAAUCUAUUUAUAUGCUCAAGGAUUUAAGGCAAACGCAGUUGAAGCAACCACUUAUGGAGCAGCUAAUCUGCGGUUAAAGAAUCAACGAAACACCAACCACAUAACAUCAUUUAGUAAGAAAACUAACCAAAGAAAAAAAGUUUAUCUCCAAGAGAGAAAAUAAACAAUGAAUGAAACUAAUAGUAGCUAAUGUAAAUCUUAUUAUGUUGUGUUUUCUUUGCAGCUGAAUAUUGGUACCUGGUUCUAAGCGGAUACGGUUUGGGAGUGAAUACUAUACCAUUAGCAGAUGUAAAGGAUGCAUCGAAAGGAUAUUUGGUGAAUGAUGCCAUUAUAAUUGAAGCUGAAAUGCUUACGGUCUCUGUGACGAACCUCGUCUCCGUUUAAAGAUCUCUACUUCUUUACCAUACUUCAAACAACCUUAGGAAGAAAGAGAUGGUUUGUGAUGUUUGUGAUGUAGUCUUUGUUUCUGGUUUUCUGAGUUUUCUCUUUUCUGUUUUGUUAUCAAUGAAAAUGAAACUCUCAGGGUUUUAAAUUUUUUGAAAAAUGUUGGGGACAUGAUGAAGUGUUAACUUUCUGGAUAAAGUCGACCUAUAUGGAGUAAACUUAUAAUUUACUUCACAUCAUUUCAAUUUUUGUAGCCAAAUUCAAACAGAACGUAACCCAAAAGAAAAAGUAUUGCAUAACAUUUUAGAAAGAUACUAAAUAUGUAAAAAAUCUAAGUCGUACGAUGCAAAUUAUAAUUUUAUUCAUACCAUUCUGGCAUUCUCUAUAAUUCUAACAUCCACUAACCAAAAAAUAAAUAUAACCAAAAUCUAGAUUGAACUUAGGAAAAAGUAAAGUAAAAUCCUGUCCGUUUUUUGCUCCUAGGUCUAUUGAACCAUUUUUAAAGCUCAAUCAUAUCGAAAUUGGGUUGAAUGGUCAUUUACCUAUACCUAUAAACUCAAGUUCCAAGGUAUAUUUAUUUUUUUGCUUUCGCUCUUGGAAUGAAUUGUACACCCAAAAUAUACGACCGUUGCCCGUUGGAGUAAGAGUCACUCCCUAGCUUGAUCUACAUUUUUUAAUGUAUAACGUUAAUUUGACCACUAUAUUAAUUCCUCUCAUUAAGUUAACCGCAUUUAUCUUGAAAGUUCAUCAACCAGUAUAUGUUUCACUCCGCGCUUCUAACAUUUCUACCACUUUUACCACUUCCAUUUUAAGCAUUUCGCAUUAGUAUCAGUUGAUAUUAUAUAUAUCAAGUUUAAUGAGAUUCUAACUCAAAAUUAAUUAGCAAUAGGUGAGAAAAUGCAUAUGUACUAAAUAUUUGUGUUGAAAUAUCUUUGCUUCCAAUGUGAAAUAUAUAAACAUGCUCCCUCGAGAAUAUAAAUUCAUUUUUCUCGGAUCAAAUCCAACUUUUGUUUUAGAUUGGUUAUACCCAUUUGUGUCUAUUAGAUUUUAAUACUAAUUACUAAAUAAGUGAUUAUGAGUUCAUUUGAAAACUCAUAAGCUUCCAACUCAAAACUAUUGGAAAUGAAUUGAUUGUCAUAUAUAUAGGUUAUGGGCUUGGUUGGUAUAACUAAAACUAUUGUAGAAUGGUGGCAAUCAGGAGCUUAAGCAUGUAAGUUGAUGAAAUUGUAACCUAUUAUAUGCUAGAAAAUUGCUCACACGAUGUGUGGGUUAAAAUAGUAUAUAUUAAGAAAAUGAUUUAAAUAUAUACCAUAACUUUAUCUUGAUUUGCACACCUUUUUGUGAUAAUCUAUUAAAACUUUUCUCGAAACAAUAGAUUACGCUAGAUCCACACUUCACUGAUAAAAAAAAUAACAUCCACAUUUCAGUUUGUUUUGGUUUAAGUGUUGAUGAUAUAAUUUUUAUAAAUAAGUUUAUAUUAAUUUUGAAAAAUGUGUAGAUAUAUUCCAUGCAAGCACUCAAAAUAAAAGAAAUUUUGAUAUUAUAUUAAAUAGUUUGAAAAUUUAUAAUAAAAAUAAAAUAAAAUAUGUUUUACUAUAAACCAAAAACAAUGGAAAAUACGGCUAAAUAAUCUUAUUAUAUAAAGUAUGUUUUCAAAGUUAAUAACUGACGUGAUCGUGACACGUGUCAAAUCUAUCGAUUUGGGAUUUGGGAUUCCAAUUUGCAUCCAAGUAUUAUCGAGUUGGAAACAGAUCUUAGUGGACUAAUGAAUUAGCUACAAGUAGAACGAAGAGCUGACCUCUACGAAUUUCUUGUUUACGGUUUACGGGUUGAACUUCUGAGAAAUGGGCGUAGAAUGACGAGGGUAAGAAGAUGAAAAAGUGUAGAAGAUGAUGAAUUGAUGAAUGAGAAGAGAUGAUGAGAUGAUGUUUAGAUCAGAGAAGAAGGAUGAACUGAUGAGAUGAGAAUUUCUCUUUCUCUCUCGGAAUCGCAUGCAGUAGAGGCGAAGAAGAAGAGAAAUGAAAUUAGGAUUAAUGAGUUAGGGUUAGGCUUAUAUAUGCCUCUUAAUGGGCUCCAUAAUUGCUAAUGGGCUGCAUAAUCAAAUAAAACCGAUCGGCCCGAUUACCGAACCGACCUGAUCCGAAAGCCGAUCGUCCAAAUUAAUUUUGACGUUUGGUUUGGUCUACUCUCUUCAGUCUACGUCGAUAACCAAAAAUUUUGGACUGAUCGGAUCGGUUUGAUCGGUCUUUGCCGAGAGGGUGCAAGAAACUGUUUUUUUUAGGAAGGCAAAAAAUUAAACAAAAGUAAAAGCAAUAUAUCCACUUGUGAUAGUAAAAUUGAAACACACUUUAUGCCUAAUUAGUACGGAACCAAAGAUAAGUAUUGUGAAAAGACAAAAAGAACGGUACCGUUUUGUUAUGAGUUCCGUGUUAUCUAUUCAUAGCCUAAUUCUUUUUUUUUUCUCCUUUUUUUUAUUAAACUUAUAGACUAAGACUAAACCACAGUUUAUGGCCAAUUGGUUUAGAACCAAAAAUAAACCGGAGACGAUAUUGGUCACACAUUUAUGGCUAAUUGGUACCGAACCAAAAAAUUACACAUAAGUAAAAUAAACCACACUUUUUUUUAUUAUCUUUUAUACUUUUUUCAAAAUAAAAAAAUAGAAAAUAACUUACUCCCUCCGUCCCACAAAGAUAAUUUUUUAAAAAAUUUCACAUUCUUUAAGAAAUAAUGUAUAAUAACAAUUUUAACCUUUUCACCUUUUAACACAUUUUAAAGAGUAUAUUAUUUAUUGUUAUUUAAUAAGGGUAAAAUAGGUAAACUGUUUUAAAUUUGACAUUAGAAACACAAAACUUCUAUCUUUAUGCGACAAAUUUUUUUUCUAAACAGUCCAUUUUUGUGGAACGGAGAGAGUAUUUAUUUUAAAUAAAAACCUAUUUUCUUUACCGCUAUGCAGUUUUGGUUCCCUAUUUUCCAUUCAUCGCGUACACUAAAAUUUAACAUCUACCUUUUUCCCAGUGGACCCAAAAAUGCCUUCGAAUUGAACAUGGGCGUUGCUCCUCUCGUGUCUAAUAUAAAAUUUGGAUAAUUAUGAAUUCUGCGAUGAUAGUGAUAUACCAUUGACACUGAGUCGAUCAUUGCAAUAAAUAAGAUCUCGUGUAAAACGUUUUUGCUAAAAAGAUUUAAUCAUAUUUUUGAACACUUGCCAGUUGCCACCCACUACCUCCAGAUCUCCCACAAAUCCAUAGAAAAUAAUACUCCCUCCGUUUCAGUUUAGUUGUCGUUUUAUGUUAUAAAUUUUGUUUCAAAAUAGUUAUCGUUUUAGGUUUUCAAUGCAAAUGUUUGGUGAAAAUUCCAGUUUUAUCCCUACUGUUUUAAUGUUUUGGCCAAUGAAUUUUUUUAUAAAAUAUAUUAAUAAAAGGUAAAAUAGAAAAUUUAAUACUUUUUUUAAUUUGUGUGAAAAAACUUUAAACGACAACUAAAACGAAACGGAGAAAGUACACAGGUUACUUGGAAAAUGGCAUAAAAGUAACAACAUUCUAAGUCAAACAUAUGUUCAAAAUGAAUAUGUUACUUUUAUGUAUAAUAAAAAUGAAUAUGUAAAAUAUAUUGUUUUUCCCACGACUAAUCCACUUUCAGUAUUUUAUAUUAGUAAUAAUAAAAAAUAACUAAACUGGAUCAAUAUGUAACCUUAGAUGUCUCUCUGUCUAUAUAAAAAUGUACACCUUUCCCAAAGAAAACCCAGAUCUCAAAAUAUGGAUAGUCAAAAACUGAGUCUAGGUUUCAUAUCUCUCGCUUUUCUCUUCAUUACCUCCUCUUCAGCUGAGUUCAUCAUUCAACAGGUAUGAUUCUUUAUUUUUGUUCUUAAAGCUCUUUUUCAAUGGAUUAGCUUUUUACUAGAAGUAGUUUUUAACAUGAAACUUAAAAAUAUAGGUCACACAGGGAAGAGGAACAGAGUACAACAGUUCUUACAUUCUCAAUGAGAAUCUUGGUACACUUGUGUUGUCUGAAAUCGACUUUCUUUUUGGUCUUUAAGGGUUUUUUUGGAUAAAAACUGGAACCCAUUUCGAUCUUGAUUUUCUUGGAUAUUUUUUGGUUGAUAGGAGUGACAAGAGUGUUGAGAGAAGAGCGACCAUCGAGUAAGAUAGUGACAAUAACAAGCUUCUCAGUGAUUAAAGGGAGAGGAGAACCCUAUGAAUCCUCUGUUUUUGAGGCUGCUGGUUACAAAUGGUUCAGAUCUUACACUUUCUCCAUUUUUAUUUAAAAAAUAAUUAAUUCUAUUUUUUGAGCUAAUUUUGUUGGAAAAUAAAAAUCAGGAGAUUGGUGUUGUACGUGAAUGGUAAUCCAAACGACGGUGGAAAUGAUCAUAUUUCACUUUAUGCGAGGAUCGAAGAGACAGAAUCUCUUCCAGUAGGCUGGGAAGUGAAUGUUGAUCUCAAACUCUUUGUCCACAAUGGGAAGCUACACAAAUAUUUGACUGUUACAGGUACACAAAUAAAUGUAUAUAGACAUCUUUAUAGAUAUAGUGGCCAAGUUUAUUUCUAGCCAAUGCUACUUUUACUUGGCAAUUGUAGAUUUCAAAUAUUAGUCUCAUUAUUACAUGAACCGAGUUGAUUGUGAUUUAGAGUUUUUUUUUUUUUUGUGGAUUGUAGAUGGAACAGUGAAGCGAUACAACAAUGCUAAAAAAGAGUGGGGAUACGGACAAUUGAUUCCUCAAUCAACAUUUUACAACACGAAUGAAGGGUACAUUGAGCAGGACACUGGUUCUUUUGGUGCUGAGAUCUUCAUCGUUAGCCCGGCCCAGCAACAAGAGAAAGUCACAUUCAUAUCAAACCCUCCUAACAAUGUUUUCACUUGGAAGAUACUUCAUUUCUCUACCUUGGAAGAUAAAUUCUAUUACUCUGACGAUUUUCUCGUUGAAGACCGAUACUGGUUAGUACUUUUGGUAACCCGAACUUUUAGACCGAAGUACAAAUGAUUUGAUCUCAAAGCUUGCAACUAUUAUGUGCAUUCCGCGGUGGCCUAGUGUAAUAAUGGGUUUUGGUUAAUGGAUAAUCA
rnacentral:lncRNA from 1 species